rnacentral:rRNA from 1 species
UACGGGGGGGGCAAGCGUUGCUCGGAAUUACUGGGCGUAAAGGGCUCGUAGGCGGCCAACUAAGUCGGAUGUGAAAUCCCCAGGCUUAACCUGGGAACUGCAUCCGAUACUGGAUGGCUUGAAUCCGGGAGAGGGAUGCAGAAUUCCUGGUGUAGCGGUGAAAUGCGUAGAGAUCAGGAAGAACAUCGGUGGCGAAGGCGCUCUGCUGGACCAUAACUGACACUCAGGGACGAAAGCUAGGGGAGCGAAUGGG